CCAUGUCUUCUCACAAGACUUUCAGGAUCAAGUGGUUCCUGGCCAAGAAACAAAAGCAGAAUCGGCCCAUUCCUCAAUGGAUUCAGAUGAAAACUGGUAAUAAAAUCAGGUACAACUCCAAGAGGAGACACUGGAGAAGAACCAAGCUGGGCCUGUAAGAAA